rnacentral:rRNA from 1 species
AGCGAACGCUGGCGGCAGGCCUAACACAUGCAAGUCGAACGAACUCUUCGGAGUUAGUGGCGGACGGGUGAGUAACACGUGGGAACGUGCCUUUAGGUUCGGAAUAACUCAGGGAAACUUGUGCUAAUACCGAAUGUGCCCUUCGGGGGAAAGAUUUUUCGCCUUUAGAGCGGCCCGCGUCUGAUUAGCUAGUUGGUGAGGUAAAGGCGCACCAAGGCGACGAUCAGUAGCUGGUCUGAGAGGAUGAUCAGCCACAUUGGGACUGAAACACGGCCCAAACUCCUACGGGAGGCAGCAGUGGGGAAUCUUGCGCAAUGGGCGAAAGCCUGACGCAGCCAUGCCGCGUGAAUGAUGAAGGUCUUAGGAUUGUAAAAUUCUUUCACCGGGGACGAUAAUGACGGUACCCGGAGAAGAAGCCCCGGCUAACUUCGUGCCAGCCGCCGCCGUAA